GCUCUACACAAAGAAAUUUCAUGUUAGAAAAUUAAGAGAGGGGAGAGAGAGGAAAGAGCCCCUCUGGACCUUGGAUUGGCCUCACAGUAGCCUUUUCUUCCUUGAGAGGCACAACAGGA